rnacentral:lncRNA from 1 species
CAUCUCUUCACACAAUUAUCUUAGUUUCCUUGCUUUAGCUCAUAGUUUCUCAUAGUUUCUUAGCUUUGUGUAGAGAUAGGUGUAUAGCUUCUUGGGUUCUUGGUUUUUCCUUACCAAAACCAAAGUAUCUAUACACUUUUGAUCAAUCACAACUCCAGUUUCAUAUAUCCAAGCCUUGUUCAUCAUAGUUCUAAGAGACUUGUGAAAUUGUAUGGUGUUUUUGGUUUCCUUCUCUUAUUAGAAACUAAAAAUACCAUACUAGGAAGCAUUUCUCACUUUGUUUUGUAUCUUGGAGGGUAGAAAGUGUUCUUAGAGGUACGGUUUGGUUCUUUUUGGAACCAAACCCAUGGGUAUUCCUUUCUUUCUAUACUCUUUUCUCUCUUUACUUGAUGCUUUACAAGUUUAUGGCUUUAAUUUAUGUAACUAUGGGUUGUGAGUAGAAUAAAUUUGGGGCUAGGGUUUAGCUCUAGUCAAACUCAUGUAUAAAACAAUAUUUAUCUCAUUGAUCAAAGUCUUUAUUUUUUAUUAGCUUAGUUUAUUUUAUUUUUGAGCAACCUAGUUUACUUUAUAAAUAACUAAAACCAACCAAGCCGUUCACUACCAUAAUUGUUAAUACUAUCCUUGCAAUCUUUAGCUUCCAAAGGGCUAAGGUUGUGAACUUAUAAAAAGUUAGAUUGCAUGUUUUUCUAGGCUUUCUUGCGGAAACUAGCUAGGUUUGAGUUUCCCCCAACCCUUUGGGUACGAUUCUCCGCACUUCCCUAUAUUAAAACUUGGCCUCCAAUGCUUGGGAGUAAGUAACAUCACACACAACUUUGCACAUAUUUUCAUACUCGUGAUGCACGCAACAAGUUUUUGGCGCCGUUGCCGGGGAUUGAGUACUUUGGGUAAGUAA